CCCAAAUUCGCUCGGGCCCAUGAAAUAAAUAAAAAUAGAAAAAAAGGGUUCAUUUACAGUCCAUUUACAACAAACAGGCCUCAAGGCCUGAUAAGCCCAAAACCCACUACACUUGAGACCCAAUUGGUCUAAACCGAUAGCCUAUACCCUGUUACACUUAAAAAACCCUUGGCCCAUGUACUAGAACCUGACCCAAAUUAAUAAAGCCUAGUAAGGCCCAAUCCUUAAUUUGAAUCAGGAAACCCUAGGGUUUCCAGAAGCUUCGCGCCGCAAGCACCACGCCUCUUCGUCUUACGCCGUUCCAGUCGACACCGUGAUUUCAUCCCAGUAUCACGCCGUAAUCAACGAACAGAUCAACGCCAGCCCACUCCUUGCCGUGAGAUCCUCGUUAAUACUUGCAAAAGAAGGAAAGAGCUACGACAGAAAAGAGGCAAACAAGGAAAGAAAUCGAAAGAUUCUUUCCCAAAAAUGUAACCGGGGGUUAUAAAACCCCUCUUUUUUUAUUUGUAUACACGUUUUUUUACACAGAGAUUCAAUAAAAACAGAAUACAUUUUACACUAAAAGAAACCAACAGUCGACUGGAGAGUACAGAGGUGAUUAUUUUAUUCUUUUUUUCUCUAAAUACAUACUGAUAAUAAAAAAUAGAAGAAAAGAAACGUACCGAUUUAAUCUACGUUGGAAAAGGAAACUUUCCAGUUUCCGACCGUCGUAAGUGGCGGCGUUGGCGGGGGCGCGUGAGCGCGUGCAAGCCUCAGACGGAGUCUCGAUAAAACUCCGAGGACAUCUCCCCCAACCCUCUCAGAGGGUUUCUUUCUU
rnacentral:lncRNA from 1 species